AGAGGGAUAACUGGGUCAAAUGUUGGUUGCAUUCUAAGUUUUCUAAGGAAUCUUCAUAUUGCUUUCCAGAGUUGUUGCACACCAAAUUGCAGUCCCACCAGUAAU
rnacentral:pre_miRNA from 1 species